GGAAAGGUGGCUGAGCUGGUCUAAGGCGCACGAUUGGAAAUCGUGUGUGGGCCAAUACCCCACCGAGAGUUCGAAUCUCUCCCUUUCCGCCA
rnacentral:tRNA from 1 species